rnacentral:rRNA from 1 species
UACAGAGGGUGCAAGCGUUGUUCGGAAUUAUUGGGCGUAAAGCGCGUGUAGGCGGCUUUGCAAGUCGGGUGUGAAAGCCCUCAGCUUAACUGAGGAAGUGCGCCCGAAACUGCAGAGCUUGAGUACCGGAGAGGAUGGCGGAAUUCCCCAAGUAGAGGUGAAAUUCGUAGAUAUGGGGAGGAACACCGGUGGCGAAGGCGGGUUGCUGGGCUGACACUGACGCUGAGGCGCGAAAGCCAGGGAGCGAACGGG